CACGGCCCGCCCCGGCACCGCUCAGGAACCGCCUCGGCACCGCCCCAGGACCGCUCAGGGCCCGCCCCGGACCCGCCCCUGCCCGGCACGGUCGCGGCCGGGCUGUGCUGUGCCGGCUCCGAGCGGGGAUCCGUCACUGCCCCGUGUCGCGGUCCAAGCACCCGAACCCGUCAUGCGAGGGCCCACAGGCAGUGGCGGUGCUGCUGCUGAGCCAUGGAUCGCUGUCCGGGCAGAGAAGCUGCACCCGCAGCGCUCCUCCGCAUCCCCGCUGGAGUGGCGGAUUUCUGAGCUGUGUUCUGCGGGUUUUGUGUAUUCCUCUUGCAGAAACAAACAGGUCCUGUGCUGCUGAGAGAUGGCUUUAGAGGUGUUAACAUCCAGCUGCGUGUCUGACAUAGGCACAUGGAUAUGUGGGACUGUUACAUCUCAGACUGCUUCUGUGUAUUAAGGCUAGGAAUAGUCUUGGUUUUCUGCUGUUGGAAACCUUUUCUUGGCUCCUACAGAGCAAUCGUGUGUACGUUCAGUGAGACAAGAUGUGUCAGUCCUGGUGCAGUGGGAACCAGACAAGCUGCACAGAACUAAUAUCCACCAGCAGAGAUGAAAAAGAGGGGAGAAUGAUGCUGCAGAGGAAGAUGAGCACCUCAGAAUGGGGAAAAAAAUUGAGAAGAAAACUGGCACUACCUGCAGGUAGUUUUUUCCUCUGAUCUGAUGCUAAGCAGUAGAGAAGGAAUUUUCAUGUUUCUGUAAAGAAUAUUGCAAGGAUAAAUGGCCAUUGAAUACUGAAAAUUCUGUGAGGCAGAAAUAGGAUUUUAGUCUGGUUUUAAUUUUUUUUCUCCCCUAACAAGUAAACUUCUUAAUUUAAUUUAGUCAAGGGAGAAAAUGAUAUGAAACACUGUUAAAACACAAAGGAUGGCAACAUGUAAAGAACCUAAAUAUUUUACCCUUACUUUAAAUAUUUCACUGAUUCACAUAAUCCUUCCAGAACUACUGGAAGUUUUCUGCUCUGUUUAAAGAAUGGGUAAAAUACUGAAUGACCAGGGCAAUGCACUAUUUUUGUUUCAUAGGAAGAUUGCUGGCCCUUCAGUCUAUACCCAUCAGGGACUGAAGUCUGCAGAAUUUAAAUAGUGAGAUCACACAGGACUGCUGGGAUACAGCACUGGGGCUUUAAAUAGUGUGGUUGUAACCUCUGCUCAAGGGAUUUGGACACACUAAACCUGAGAACUAAUUUUAUUCCCAUUUUAUUAUAUUAUUGAUAUAUUAGAUUUAUAUUUAUGAUAUAAAUAUAUCAGCCUAAGCCCAAGAAAAACACAUAGUAAAUAGGAUAAUUGACUCCAAAACAGGGAGUCUCAGCCAGCUUGAGGGAUUUAUUGAAAAGUUAUUCUGCUUCCAGAGGUGUUGGAUGCCUUAGGAUAUGGGGAGUGUUUCAUCCACCUCUGGGGAAUCUCAGUAAAUCAAGGACAGUAUUUGAAGGGCCUGGGGUAUAUCUCAUCCUCCAAAGGCAGUUUUGGGUAGGAACCAGAGUAGAAAUGCAGGUGUUGGAGGAAAGCAGGAGAUGUCUGAGCUGACCAACUACAGCACAACAAGAAACAUCAACAACAGAGAGCAGAAUGGCCAGAAUAAAAUACAAACAUAUAUAGAUGCAGCUCCCCAAAGAUGCACAAACAACUCUUUCACACUCUGUUUGGCACCUGUUACCUCUUCCAUGUUUGUUUCCAGUUUUUUCUCUUGGUGGC